AACGAACGCUGGCGGCAUGCCUAACACAUGCAAGUCGAACGAGACCUUCGGGUCUAGUGGCGCACGGGUGCGUAACGCGUGGGAACCUGCCCUUAGGUUCGGAAUAACUCCCCGAAAGGGGUGCUAAUACCGGACAAUGUCUUCGGACCAAAGAUUUAUCGCCCUUGGAUGGGCCCGCGUUGGAUUAGCUAGUUGGUAGGGUAAAAGCCUACCAAGGCGACGAUCCAUAGCUGGUCUGAGAGGAUGAUCAGCCACACUGGGACUGAGACACGGCCCAGACUCCUACGGGAGGCAGCAGUGGGGAAUAUUGGACAAUGGGCGGAAGCCUGAUCCAGCAAUGCCGCGUGAGUGAUGAAGGCCUUAGGGUUGUAAAGCUCUUUUACCCGGGAUGAUAAUGACAGUACCGGGAGAAUAAGCUCCGGCUAACUCCGUG
rnacentral:rRNA from 1 species